rnacentral:snRNA from 1 species
GUGUGUUACAGCUCUUUUAGAAUUUGUCUAGCAGACUUUCCAGUAAACACCGGAAAGCCCUC